GUUCAAGUGGUUAACUUUUGUUAAGUUUAGAUUUGGUUUGGUUGUUCCGAUAGACGUGUAACAGCGCUACACGAAUACCACACUAGUCGCGCCAGUCUUAGCGAGAAGACUGCCACUAGUUCUGCGCAGCAGAGAGUCGCUCUAACUUUUCUCAAAGUUAGGGACUCCAGCUCGAGCCUCAGCUCUCGCUCGUUGUUCCUCGACUAUCGUCGGGUCAACUAGGUAAUGAUCCUUCCGCAGGUUCACCUACGGAAA
rnacentral:misc_RNA from 1 species